UUCCCAUAUGAUCACCAAAGUUAAGCAACAUCGAGCCUGGUCAGUAUCUAGAUGGGUGACCACUUGGGAAUUCCAGGUGCUGCAAG